rnacentral:rRNA from 1 species
CGGGGUGCAGCAGGCGCGAAAAGUUUACAAUGCACGAAAGUGUGAUAGCGGGAUUCAAAGUGCUCAUACAAAGUAUGGGCUUUUGCCAACUCAAAAUUUGUUGGCGAAUAAGUGGUGGGAAAGACUGGUGCCAGCCGCCGCGGUAACACCAGCGCCACGAGUGGGAAUCACUAUUACUGGGCCUAAAGCGUCCGUAGCAGGUCUUGAUAAUUGCUUGUGAAAUCGCACAACUCAACUGUGCGGAUUGCAGGCAACACUACAAGACUAGAGAUCGGGAGAUGUUGGAGGUAUUCAGUGGGGAGCGGUAAAAUGCGAGAAUCCUCUGAAGACCACCUGUUGCGAAGGCGUCCAACAAUAACGAGUCUGACUGUGAGGGUCGAAAGCUAGGGGAGCGAACCGGAUUAGAUACCCGAGUAGUCCUAGCCCUAAACGCUGCGAGCUAGGUGUUGCAUAAUCUUCGGGAUUAUGCAGUAUCGUAGAGAAGUCGUUAAGCUCGCCGCCUGGGAAGUACGGCCGCAAGACUGAAACU